rnacentral:lncRNA from 1 species
AAGAUUCCCCUUUCUUCUUCGCCGCCUCUUUCUCCCUGCAAAAUAGAACAAAUAAGAGGACCACACCCAGGGGGUGUUGGCCAAAGGCCCUGCGAUGCCUAAGUCAAUUCAAUCGAUCCGUAGAGAAACGAUAGCUAAAAUAGGGUACGGGAUGUGUUUAUCAUAUAAAUCGGGCGGCCGGAGCCUUAUGUAAAAGAGAGAGAGAAAAGAGGUGACUAGGGUAUGAGAGGAAUUUUCUAUAGAGAUUUUAGUAGUAGUUCUGACGUACUUCAACCCUUGUGUGUGUCCAUGCUUUUAUAGAGCCUCGUAGGGUUAGGGUUUGGAGAAAAAUAAUCCUUGUUGGGAAAGGAAUUAUUUUUCUGAUUUUAGGAGAUUUAAAUCAAUUAGGGAUUUAAUGCGAAUUAAAUCCCUAAUCAAGGCAAGAAUCCCCAAAUCAAAUAAUCCCCAAAUGGAAGGAAAUAUUUGACCUAGGGUUUGCUUAAAAUUAGGUUCCCACAAAUGCCCCCCAGCUUCUGGAUGGCCCGUGAUGGCAUGGAGGAGGUGUGAAUUAACUGUUGGGCUGUCCAGCUGUAACUGGGCUUCCUUCUUGGAUUUGGGGUCUCAAUUGGAGUCGGCUUUUGAUUGUUCUUGGAGUUGGGUUCCCAGUAGGAAUGGGCUUGCGAUUCUUUCUUGACCUAGGAUGCCCAACAUGUAUAAAUGCAGGGCUUCUCUUCAUUCUUCUUCACAUUGCAAACUUGACUUCUUUACUUUCUAGCUUGAGAGAGAUCUUGGAGAAUUUGUACUGCUUGUUGAAGAGAGGAGUUGUCGUGCAUCCCAAGGUAAGUCGAGCAAGUAUAUUUUUUUCCUCGUCUUCUCUUUUUUGCGG